rnacentral:rRNA from 1 species
GAUGAACGCUAGCGGCAGGCUUAAUACAUGCAAGUCGUGGGGCAGCAUGAGUAGCAAUACUUGAUGGCGACCGGCAAACGGGUGAGGAACACGUACACAACCUUCCUUCAAGCGGGGAAUAGCCCAGAGAAAUUUGGAUUAAUACCCCAUAAUAUAUUUGAUAGGGCAUCUUAUUAAUAUUAAAGCUUCGGCACUUGAUGAUGGGUGUGCGGCUGAUUAGAUAGUUGGCGGGUAACGGCCCACCAAGUCUACGAUCAGUAGCUGAUGUGAGAGCAUGAUCAGCCACACGGGCACUGAGACACGGGCCCGACUCCUACGGGAGGCAGCAGUAAGGAAUAUUGGACAAUGGACGAAAGUCUGAUCCAGCCAUGCCGCGUGAAGGAUUAAGGUCCUCUGGAUUGUAACUCUUUAUAUGGGACGAAAAAGGGCAUUCUUGUUCACUUGACGGUACCAUAUGAAUAAGCACCGGCUAACUCCGUGCCAGCA